CUGCGAAUGGCUCAUUAAAUCAGUUAUCGUUUAUUUGAUAGUACCUUGCUACAUGGAUACCUGUGGUAAUUCUAGAGCUAAUACAUGCUAAAAACCCCGACUUCAGGAAGGGGUGUAUUUAUUAGAUAAAAAACCAACGCCCUUCGGGGCUCCUUGGUGAAUCAUAAUAACUUAACGAAUCGCAUGGCCUUGCGCCGGCGAUGGUUCAUUCAAAUUUCUGCCCUAUCAACUUUCGAUGGUAGGAUAGUGGCCUACCAUGGUGGCAACGGGUAACGGGGAAUUAGGGUUCGAUUCCGGAGAGGGAGCCUGAGAAACGGCUACCACAUCCAAGGAAGGCAGCAGGCGCGCAAAUUACCCAAUCCCGAUACGGGGAGGUAGUGACAAUAAAUACUGAUACGGGGCUCUUUUGGGUCUCGUAAUUGGAAUGAGAACAAUUUAAAUCCCUUAACGAGGAACAAUUGGAGGGCAAGUCUGGUGCCAGCAGCCGCGGUAAUUCCAGCUCCAAUAGCGUAUAUUUAAAGUUGUUGCAGUUAAAAAGCUCGUAGUUGAACCUUGGCCCUGGCUGGCCGGUCCGCCUCACCGCGAGUACUGGUCCGGCUGGGGCUUUCCUUCUGGGGAACCUCAUGGCCUUCACU
rnacentral:rRNA from 1 species